rnacentral:rRNA from 1 species
CCGUCUUCGGAGGCACCUGCACAGGUGCUGCAUGGCUGUCGUCAGCUCGUGUCGUGAGAUGUUCGGGUUAAGUCCCGCAACGAGCGCAACCCUUAUCCCUAGUUGCCAUCAGGUAAAGCUGGGAACUCUGGGGAGACUGCCGGUGAUAAACCGGAGGAAGGCGGGGAUGACGUCAAGUCCUCAUGGCCCUUACAUCCCGGGCUACACACGUGCUACAAUGGCAGGUACAGAGGGCUGCGAAGCCGCGAGGUGGAGCGAAUCCCAGAAAACCUGUCUCAGUCCGGAUUGAAGUCUGCAACUCGACUUCAUGAAGGCGGAAUCGCUAGUAACCGCGAAUCAGCAGGUCGCGGUGAAUACGUUCCCGGGCCUU